rnacentral:rRNA from 1 species
GGGUGAGUAAUGCCUAGGAAUCUGCCUGGUAGUGGGGGAUAACGCUCGGAAACGGACGCUAAUACCGCAUACGUCCUACGGGAGAAAGCAGGGGACCUUCGGGCCUUGCGCUAUCAGAUGAGCCUAGGUCGGAUUAGCUAGUUGGUGAGGUAAUGGCUCACCAAGGCGACGAUCCGUAACUGGUCUGAGAGGAUGAUCAGUCACACUGGAACUGAGACACGGUCCAGACUCCUACGGGAGGCAGCAGUGGGGAAUAUUGGACAAUGGGCGAAAGCCUGAUCCAGCCAUGCCGCGUGUGUGAAGAAGGUCUUCGGAUUGUAAAGCACUUUAAGUUGGGAGGAAGGGCAUUAACCUAAUACGUUGGUGUCUUGACGUUACCGACAGAAUAAGCACCGGCUAACUCUGUGCCAGCAGCCGCGGUAAUACAGAGGGUGCAAGCGUUAAUCGGAAUUACUGGGCGUAAAGCGCGCGUAGGUGGUUUGUUAAGUUGGAUGUGAAAUCCCCGGGCUCAACCUGGGAACUGCAUUCAAAACUGACAAGCUAGAGUAUGGUAGAGGGUGGUGGAAUUUCCUGUGUAGCGGUGAAAUGCGUAGAUAUAGGAAGGAACACCAGUGGCGAAGGCGACCACCUGGACUGAUACUGACACUGAGGUGCGAAAGCGUGGG